GAUAUGAGGAACUCCAAUGUGUUAGCUUUUGUUGCUCUAUUCCUACAGUGUCUGGAAGAGGAUUCAUCGAGGUGCUGUUGCCUACUACCUCUUAUCACAUGUCCUGUUCUUUUGUUGUCCAUUUUUAUUUAGCAUGGGCAAUAUGCUAGUUUCAGAUAUAUAAAUUUUAAUAUUUUAUUGGUAUGACUGACCCACCCUUUUGGGGUAAUAUAUUGAAUGUAUGGAUGUCAACUAUCUUUGAAUGUGCAUUGAGGUGGGAUUGUGUGGAUGGCAAUUUUAUUGGCAAGCAUAAGUAGUGCAAAAGUCGUUUACAUGUAAUAUUGUGAGUUUGAUGAGCCUGGGUUAGCUUGAGAGUGAGACUAACUUCAUUUUCUUCUAGACUAAUAUGUUGCCUUGUCAUUAGAUCUAGCUGCAGUUGAACCAGCUGUUGGGUACUCACUUUUGGUGACGGUGUCCGCCUGGUCUAUUGAACAAUUUGAAUUGGCUUUUACAUGACAUUAGUGAAGUGUCUUAUUCUCAUAGUUGCAUAAUAUAGUCUCAGGGAUUUGCCCCAUUUAUAUCCAAAAAAAAAAAAAAAAUUUGUUGCUUUGUCAUGUGACAUCAUAGCAGAGCCAGCACCAUAGCCAUAUGCAGUGACUGCCAUUUACUGUCUUCCAAACCAAAUUUCCUUGUUUAUUUGGAUGGCCUGAACUAUGUUGCACAAUACUUGAGACGGAUAAUUUUUUCAAAUCUCUGUUAUUCUGCAAUUUAUUGGUUAAAGCUAUUUAUUCCUUGUUCAUUGCACUUAUCAAGAGGAUGAUGGGAGCCAAACUCGGGCAAUAGUGGUUCUACUGUAGAACUAGGAUAAGAAAAGGUGCAGAAAGCAACUGCUUCUGUCCUUCAUGUUUGCUGUCUGUUUCUCUUUGUAUAUAUACUAAAUAAAUGUGGGAAUUAGAAUUUAACUUGCUCUAAUGCUGUCCUGUUUAUUCCUGCCAUUGUGUAGUUUAUUAAAUAUACUCAGAGAAUCACCUCUUCAAAUUUUUGUUCUAACACGCUCUAGUGCUGACUAUUUUGGGUUUUCUUCAAAGUAACUCCAUCCUAAACUUGAUUCUGUUAUUCUUCACAUGCGGUAUGCAAAUGUUCACUGAUCUGGUCCUUCUGGAUGUGUGUUU
rnacentral:misc_RNA from 1 species